rnacentral:misc_RNA from 1 species
GAUGAAGAACGCAGUGAAAUGCGAUAAGUAAUGUGAAUUGCAGAAUUCAGUGAAUCAUCGAAUCUUUGAACGCACAUUGCGCCCGCCAGUAUUCUGGCGGGCAUGCCUGUUCGAGCGUCAUUUCAACCAUCAAGCCCCCGGGCUUGUGUUGGGGACCUGCGGCUGCCGCAGGCCCUGAAAAGCAGUGGCGGGCUCGCUGUCACACCGAGCGUAGUAGCAUACAUCUCGCUCUGGGCGUGCUGCGGGUUCCGGCCGUUAAACUACCCUUUUAACCCAAGGUUGACCUCGGAUCAGGUAGGAAGACCCGCUGAACUUAAGCAUAUCAAUAAGCGGAGGA